rnacentral:rRNA from 1 species
UACGUAGGGUGCGAGCGUUAAUCGGAAUUACUGGGCGUAAAGCGUGCGCAGGCGGUGAUGUAAGACAGUUGUGAAAUCCCCGGGCUCAACCUGGGAACUGCAUCUGUGACUGCAUCGCUGGAGUGCGGCAGAGGGGGAUGGAAUUCCGCGUGUAGCAGUGAAAUGCGUAGAUAUGCGGAGGAACACCGAUGGCGAAGGCAGUCCCCUGGGCCUGUACUGACGCUCAUGCACGAAAGCGUGGGGAGCAAACAGG